UACAGAGGGUGCGAGCGUUAAUCGGAAUUACUGGGCGUAAAGCGUGCGUAGACGGUUUCGUAAGUCGGGUGUGAAAUCCCCGGGCUCAACCUGGGAAUUGCAUUCAAGACUGCGAGGCUAGGGUGCGGAAGAGGGAAGCGGAAUUUCCGGUGUAGCGGUGAAAUGCGUAGAUAUCGGAAGGAACAUCAGUGGCGAAGGCGGCUUCCUGGUCCAGCACCGACGUUCAGGCACGAAAGCGUGGGGAGCAAACAGG
rnacentral:rRNA from 1 species